rnacentral:tRNA from 1 species
GGAUAUAUAGCUCAGUGGUAGAGUGUGUGCUUAGCAUGCACAAGGUCCUGGGUCCAAUCCCCAGUACCUCCA